AGUUGGUUUAAAGGGAGGCGUAGGCUGGAGAUUAAGCGUGUUGUGAAAUGUAGACGCUCAACGUCUGCACUGCAGCGCGAACUGGUUUCCUUGAGUACGCACAAAGUGGGCGGAAUUCGUGGUGUAGCGGUGAAAUGCUUAGAUAUCACGAAGAACUCCGAUUGCGAAGGCAGCUCACUGGAGCGCAACUGACGCUGAAGCUCGAAAGUGCGGGUAUCGA
rnacentral:rRNA from 1 species